rnacentral:rRNA from 1 species
AACGAACGCUGGCGGUAUGCUUAACACAUGCAAGUCGAACGGGUAUAGCAAUAUAUCAGUGGCAAACGGGUGAGGAAUAUAUAGGAAUCUCCCCAGCAGUAAGGAAUAACUUCGAGAAAUCGAAGCUAAUGCCAUAUAUCACCCUUCGGGGGAAAGAUUUAUCGCUGUUGGAUGAGCCUAUAUCGGAUUAGCUAGUUGGUAGGGUAAUGGCCUACCAAGGCAAUGAUCCGUAGCUGGUCUGAGAGGAUGAUCAGCCACACUGGAACUGAGACACGGUCCAGACUCCUACGGGAGGCAGCAGUGGGGAAUAUUGGACAAUGGGCGCAAGCCUGAUCCAGCAAUUCCGCGUGGGUGAAGAAGGUCUUCGGAUUGUAAAGCCCUUUCGUUGGGGACGAUGAUGACGGUACCCAAAGAAGAAGCCCCGGCUAACUUCGUG